rnacentral:rRNA from 1 species
GAUGAACGCUGGCGGCGUGCCUAAUACAUGCAAGUCGAGCGAAUGGAUUAAGAGCUUGCUCUUAUGAAGUUAGCGGCGGACGGGUGAGUAACACGUGGGUAACCUGCCCAUAAGACUGGGAUAACUCCGGGAAACCGGGGCUAAUACCGGAUAACAUUUUGAACCGCAUGGUUCGAAAUUGAAAGGCGGCUUCGGCUGUCACUUAUGGAUGGACCCGCGUCGCAUUAGCUAGUAGGUGAGGUAACGGCUCACCAAGGCAACGAUGCGUAGCCGACCGGGGGGGGUGAUCGGCCAAACGGGGACUGAGACACGGCCCAGACUCCUACGGGAGGCAGCAGUAGGGAAUCUUCCGCAAUGGACGAAAGUCGGACGGAGCAACGCCGCGUGAGUGAUGAAGGCUUUCGGGUCGUAAAACUCUUUUGUUAGGGAAGAACAAGUGCUAGUUGAAUAAGCUGACACCUUGACGGUACCUAACCAGAAAGCCACGGCUAACUACGUGCCAGCAGCCGCCGUAA